GGGGUUGUACUGGUUUCGACGGGGGUCAUGAAUCUGGUGAAGCUAUCCGCAUGCGAUGCGUUAAAUGGCAAAAUUAAAAUUAAACGCAGACGAAAGUUUUGCAUACGCAGCCUAAGGGCUGCUGUCAGCCUUAGUGCACUCACACAUUAAGAAUCUGGCAUCGACGAUGUGAGAAACGAUAUGCGUUAAGCUUUGCGCGCAUGGGCGUAUCAUGAAGCUACUGAACCUGCAAGGGUGUCUGUUCCCGUGCAGCAGAGGGAAUGUAAAAUGACAGACUAUGAUAGUAGAAGAACAGGGGAUUGGUUUUCGGACAGGGGUUCGAUUCCCCUCAGCUCCACU
rnacentral:tmRNA from 1 species